AUUGAACGCUGGCGGCAGGCUUAACACAUGCAAGUCGAGCGGGGAAAAGUAGCUUGCUACUUAACCUAGCGGCGGACGGGUGAGUAAUGCUUAGGAAUCUGCCUAUUAGUGGGGGACAACAUCUCGAAAGGGAUGCUAAUACCGCAUACGUCCUACGGGAGAAAGCAGGGGACCUUCGGGCCUUGCGCUAAUAGAUGAGCCUAAGUCGGAUUGGCUAGUUGGUGGGGUAAAGGCCUACCAAGGCGACGAUCUGUAGCGGGUCUGAGAGGAUGAUCCGCCACACUGGGACUGAGACACGGCCCAGACUCCUACGGGAGGCAGCAGUGGGGAAUAUUGGACAAUGGGGGGAACCCUGAUCCAGCCAUGCCGCGUGUGUGAAGAAGGCCUUUUGGUUGUAAAGCACUUUAAGCGAGGAGGAGGCUACCGAGAUUAAUACUCUUGGAUAGUGGACGUUACUCGCAGAAUAAGCACCGGCUAACUCUGUGCCAGCCGCCGCGUAA
rnacentral:rRNA from 1 species